rnacentral:rRNA from 1 species
CACGUAGGGUGCGAGCGUUGUCCGGAAUUAUUGGGCGUAAAGAGCUCGUAGGCGGUGUGUCGCGUCGGCCGUGAAAACCUGCAGCUUAACUGUGGGCUUGCGGUCGAUACGGGCAUCACUGGAGUUCGGCAGGGGAGACUGGAAUUCCUGGUGUAGCGGUGAAAUGCGCAGAUAUCAGGAGGAACACCGGUGGCGAAGGCGGCAUCCGGGCCCUGUCCUGACGCUCAGGGGCGAAAGCGUGGGGAGCAAACCGG